rnacentral:lncRNA from 1 species
AGAGGCGUUUGCGGCCCAGCGCCUGGACUGGACCUUGGCGUUGGGCCGCAGUUGCCCGGAGUUUUUGGGGCCCCCGGGAACCCGCGCGCCGAGGCCGGCUAAGUUUGGCAGACUCUCUGAGCUCUCGGAAUUCGACUGCCUCCAUUGUUGCUCCUUCUGGCACCCACAGACCGUAACGUGGCCGUAAUUGUUUCCCGGAGAGCUUAGCUUCCCUCUGAGCACCUCCCUCCCCUUUUUAAAGUACCUUCCCACUCGCCUGCGUUUCCUCGCGUUAGUGGUGCAGGGGCCUCCGCAUUUGGGGAAAUAACAAACACCCACUUCCGCCCCCCACCCCAACCGGGAUCCCCAGAUAAUGAGAAAUAGAUGGUGGCCCUCUGUUUGUAAGCUGUUCAUUUGCAUAGGUCGGAACCGCGCACCACAGCUUGAAGCUAGGAAUUAAAAUAUCGGUGGGAAUUAAAUAAGUGGCUGGCUUAAAGAACAUCUUCUUAAUUUAUCCCCAAAUGUAGACAUCUCUUCAGUGGACCCCCUGAUAGGCCGGUUUGCUCCAGGUGAGGUGUGCUCACAGCAACUGCAACCGUGUUUCUUUCAGACCAUGGGCGUGAGCAGAACCUACUAUGCGCCCCUGCUGCCUGGGCUGUGCUGUUCAGUUUGGGGCCACCAGCCCCACAUGGCUCCUGAGCACUUAAAGUAUGGCUAGUCGGAAUCGAGAUAUAUGCAUUCUUUACCAAAUAAUGUUCAAAAAAUUGUUACAUGUUGAAGUGAUAAACUUUUUCCAUAUAUUGGGAUAAAAGUUUUAUUUGUUUAUUUUUUAGUGUGGGUUCUACAGAAUUUUAAAUGUCACCUGUGGCCUGCAUUAUAUUGCCAUUGGGCAGGCUGAUCUAGGGCUUGCAUGCCUGUGAUCCUUAGGUGCACCCUGUGAGGUAGGUGCUUUAACUGUGUGCACCCUGUGAGGUAGGUGCUUUAACUGUGUGCACAUUGUGAGGUAGGUGCUGAAACUGCUUCCUGUUUUUUUUUUUUUUUUCUUUUGAGACGGAGUCUCACUCUGUCUCCAGGCUGGAGUGCAGUGGUGCGACCUGGGCUUACUGCAAUCUCCGCCUCCCAGGUUCAAGUGAUUCUCCUGCCUCAGCCUCCCGAGUAGCUGGGAUUACAGGGGCACGCCACCACACCCAGCUAAUUUUUGUAUUUUUAGAAGAGACGGGGUUUCACCAUGUUGGCCAUGAUGGUCUCGAUUUCUGACCUUGUCAUCCGUCCGCCUUGGCCUCCCAAAGUGCUGGGAUUACGGGCGUGAGCCACCGUACCCAGCCUGCUUCCUGUUUUAACAGACGAAGAAAUGGAAUAACUUCCAACAACACAGGUUGGAGCUGAAGGAGUGCCCAGGCUGCGGAUGGAGGAAGGACGUGCUCGGGAGAAGGUGAAGAUGGGAGAGAAGCAAGAUCUUCUGUGUUUGGACCAAGGACACAUUUCCUUACUCCAUAGCAGCUGUGGUCAGUGGCUUAGCUCGGACAAGGAGAUGAGAGCCCAUGUGUUGUGAGGGUUCUUCUGGGAACUCUGAGAAGGCAGGAGCCGCCCCCGCCCUUCACUGCCUCUCUUCCAUUCUGCAGCAUGGAAUAUGGAUGUGUGGUCUGGAUGUACAGACACCAUUUUGGACCAUAAAGACAAGGACGAUUGUCUAAGGAUGACACAGCCAGAGCACUGAGAGUGGCGAGAAGGACAGGGGAGCUGCUGUGCCAAGCAGGACUGUCUCUCUUAAGAGAAAAAUAAAAUUUAUUGGUGUUUAAACCAUUGCUUUUUUGGGCUGUCACGUCACUGGAAUUAAUCUGAAACGCUGCAGCAAUUAAUGG